UGGGGAAUAUUGCACAAUGGGGGAAACCCUGAUGCAGCGACCCCGCGUGAAGGAAGAAGUAUCUCGGUAUGUAAACUUCUAUCAGCAGGGAAGAAAAUGACGGUACCUGACUAAGAAGCCCCGGCUAACUACGUGCCAGCAGCCGCGGUAAUACGUAGGGGGCAAGCGUUAUCCGGAUUUACUGGGUGUAAAGGGAGCGUAGACGGAUGGACAAGUCUGAUGUGAAAGGCUGGGGCUCAACCCCGGGACUGCAUUGGAAACUGCCCGUCUUGAGUGCCGGAGAGGUAAGCGGAAUUCCUAGUGUAGCGGUGAAAUGCGUAGAUAUAUGGAGGAACACCAGUGGCGAAGGCGACGAUCUGGCGCAUAACUGACGCUCAGUCCCGAAAGCGUGGGGAGCAAAUAGGAUUAGAUACCCUAGUAGUCCACGCCGUAAACGAUGAGUACUAAGUGUUGGGUGUCAAAGCUCAGUGCUGCAGUUAACGCAAUAAGUACUCCGCCUGAGUAGUACGUUCGCAAGAAUGAAACUCAAAGGAAUUGACGGGGACCCGCACAAGCGGUGGAGCAUGUGGUUUAAUUCGAAGCAACGCGAAGAACCUUACCUGAUCUUGACAUCCCGAUGACCGCUUCGUAAUGGAAGCUUUUCUUCGGAACAUCGGUGACAGGUGGUGCAUGGUUGUCGUCAGCUCGUGUCGUGAGAUGUUGGGUUAAGUCCCGCAACGAGCGCAACCCUUGUCCUUAGUAGCCAGCAGUAAGAUGGGCACUCUAGGGAGACUGCCGGGGAUAACUCGGAGGAAGGUGGGGACGACGUCAAAUCAUCAUGCCCCUUAUGACUUGGGCUACACACGUGCUACAAUGGCGUAAACAAAGGGAAGCGAACCUGUGAAGGCAAGCAAAUCCCAAAAAUAACGUCUCAGUUCGGAUUGUAGUCUGCAACUCGACUACAUGAAGCUGGAAUCGCUAGUAAUCGCAGAUCAGAAUGCUGCGGUGAAUACGUUCCC
rnacentral:rRNA from 1 species